UCAGGCUGUAGUAUCGCCAUGUCUGUUAAUCUACAACAUGGAGUCCCCAGGAGCCAUACAGGAUAUUGGGUUGGCACUGCAUGAGGAAAAUGCCCUUCACCGUUUAGCACACCUCGUUACCGGGGCCUGUGAGACCCAGGGGAGAACAUCUGUGAGGCUCCAGAGGCAGAGAAACUGGGAUUGACAAUGACCGAAAACAUGCUGCGAAAGCAACCCAAAGAAGUGCAAAGAAGUGGAAUAUUCUGCAAUGGCCGAGUAAUUUGC